GAUUGUAGUCUGCAACUCGACUACAUGAAGCUGGAAUCGCUAGUAAUCGCGAAUCAGAAUGUCGCGGUGAAUACGUUCCCGGGUCUUGUACACACCGCCCGUCACACCAUGGGAGUCGGAAAUGCCCGAAGCCGGUGACUCAACCGCAAGGAGAGAGCCGUCGAAGGCAGGUCUGAUAACUGGGGUGAAGUCGUAACAAGGUAAC
rnacentral:rRNA from 1 species